UCUCUCUCCCUCUCUCUUCCCUCUCUCCUCCUUUCUCUUUCAUCUGUCUUCUCUUUAUCCCUGAUUUUUUCUUCCCCUGCUUUUAGAAACCGCAACACGGGUUGUGGUCCGCCAACGACAUAUCCGGCCGAUGACCACUUCCCCAUUCCUUUCUGUGCUGCAUUCACUUUUUUUGUUCCAAAGAGUUGUGGUAAGUAGAAACAAAGAUCUGAGGAAAAAAAAGAUAAAGGAGAAACAAAUAUCUGGAGAAAUAAAAGUGCAGAUCUCAAAAUUUUCAAAGCAGAAAUGAGAGAUUCACUACCUGGACAAAUCAGAGGGUGUCGGUACCGGCGGCGACGCCCUACAUGACGGCGGCCUGGAUAUCGGUGGAUUGGGGAUGGAGUUUGGGGGUUAAGGAACUUGAAGAGUGUGUUACCAUUUUUCUCAUUGUAUUUCAAUGUAUCUCGUUGUAUUCCAUUUAUUUUAUUGUAUUCACCGUCUUUAGUUUUUCUACCUUUUCAAUAUACUCAUUGUAUUUAACUAUAUUCAAUGUAAUUAUAUAACUUUCAAAGCUUCACUUUAUUUCACUGUUUUGUCCAGC
rnacentral:lncRNA from 1 species